rnacentral:lncRNA from 1 species
UGGGAAUUUCAAUGACCAUGAGUAUCCAGUGAAAAUUGUUUACACACAUAUAUAUAGGCAGGCCCAUAUAUAACUAUAUAAAACUUUUCUCGAGUAAUAAUAAGUAAAAUAAAAUAUGCAUGCACUUAAUAACUAUAUAACUCACUCGAGUUGAAGGGGAAGAGUAUUUUUUGUUUUUCUUUUUGGUUCACAAAGAACCUCAUAAGAUUGGUGCAAACUUCUUUCUCAUGAGAUGCUGUCCACACUGCCUGCGGAGCCUUGAAAACAAUAUAAGGGUCAACGAACCCAAUACUAUUGUCAUUUCUGAUUCUGAGUUCUCUCAUUUGGUGUCUGCAUAUAUACAUACAAAUCCUAAGUGUGUA